AUUGAACGCUGGCGGCAUGCUUUACACAUGCAAGUCGAACGGCAGCGCGGGCUUCGGCCUGGCGGCGAGUGGCGAACGGGUGAGUAAUGCAUCGGAACGUGCCCAGUAGUGGGGGAUAGCCCGGCGAAAGCCGGAUUAAUACCGCAUACGACCUGAGGGUGAAAGCGGGGGACCGAAAGGCCUCGCGCUAUUGGAGCGGCCGAUGUCGGAUUAGCUAGUUGGUGGGGUAAAGGUUUACCAAGGCGACGAUCCGUAGCUGGUCUGAGAGGACGACCAGCCACACUGGGACUGAGACACGGCCCAGACUCCUACGGGAGGCAGCAGUGGGGAAUUUUGGACAAUGGGGGCAACCCUGAUCCAGCCAUGCCGCGUGCGAGAAGAAGGCCUUCGGGUUGUAAACCGCUUUUGUUCGGGAAGAAAUCCUCUGGGCUAAUACCCCGGGGGGAUGACGGUACCGGAAGAAUAAGCACCGGCUAACUACGUG
rnacentral:rRNA from 1 species